rnacentral:rRNA from 1 species
ACGUGGCAUACGGCUCAGUAACACGUAGUCAACAUGCCCAGGGGACGUGGAUAACCUCGGGAAACUGAGGAUAAACCGCGAUAGGCUAAGAUUUCUGGAAUGAAUCAUAGUUUAAAUCUAUAUGGCCCCUGGAUUGGACUGCGGCCGAUCAGGCUGUUGGUGAGGUAAUGGCCCACCAAACCUGUAACCGGUACGGGCUCUGAGAGGAGGAGCCCGGAGAUGGGCACUUAGACAAGGGCCCAGGCCCUAUGGGGCGCAGCAGGCGCGAAACCUCUGCAAUAAGCGAAAGCCUGACAGGGUUACUCUGAGUGAUUUCCGCUAAGGAAGUCUUUUGGCACCUCUAAAAAUGGUGCAGAAUAAGGGGUGGGCAAGUCUGGUGUCAGCCGCCGCGGUAAUACCAGCACCCCGAGUGGUCGGGACGAUUAUUGGGCCUAAAGCAUCCGUAGCCGGUCCUGCAAGUCCUCCGUUAAAUCACCCGCUCAACGGUUGGGCCGCGGGGGAUACUACAGGGCUAGGAGGCGGGAGAGGCAAGCGGUACUCGAUGGGUAGGGGUAAAAUCCACUGAUCCAUUGAAGACCACCAGUGGCGAAGGCGGCUUGCCAGAACGCGCUCGACGGUGAGGGAUGAAAGCUGGGGGAGCAAACCGGAUUAGAUACCCGGGUAGUCCCAGCUGUAAACGAUGCAGACUCGGUGAUGGGCUGGCUUCGUGCC